ensembl:lncRNA
AGCCUGGAGGAGAGGCAGAAGCUGGAGGACUGAGGAUGCGAGCGGACUCACCUGAGAGCAGACUCGCGCGGACCCUCUGUCUCUCUCACAAGGGCCCGAUGUCCACGCAGAGGAGGAGCCGUGUGGGACAAUUGGUUGGGACCUUUAAGUGGAGGACAUUUCUCCCCAGAGUCCGCUUUGCCUACGGAAGAGAUCCCGUCAGCAUGGCGUCGGGCUUCAUCGGAGCGCGAGAGGGGGUCUGUUUCUGUCUUUGGUUAUCUAGCUGUAUGAGUUUUAAAUGCCUGUCAUAAAGCUAGAUAACCGAAAGUAGAAAUGACUCCCGGAACGUUGUGUUCAUCCCCGAAAGACGCGGGACUCCUCGAGCUUCCAACUGGGAAAAAGGUGAGGAAAUCGUUUUGCUUUGUGUGUGUGUGUUUUUUUAAGUUUGAUAAAAUAUAAAAUGAAACAAUUAGCAUUAAAUAAUCCCAAAUUGAUACAAAACUUGUGUAUAUUACAUUCGCUUUUAUAAAUAGCUUCAUCAGUUAAUUUUUCUAUAUUCUUUUUCUUUUUUUAAUAAGUAUACACACAUUUCCAGAGCUUUUUGCAGAACAAAAUGUUUAGCUUCAGCAAUAUCAGUCAUGUUGGUCUGAAGAAAACAAAAAUACCGUUGAGAAAUUUGAAGAAAAAAAAGUUAUCCCAGGAUGUCAUUAAUGGCUUUAGAGUAGUAGACGUUGUUUGUUUGUCUUUCUAUCUCAAUCCACUUUAUUUUAAGGAUUCAGUACAUGAGGUCCUUGUACAAAGGGGCCCUCAGUGUUUGCUGUCCAUUCAGGCCCUCUGCAACGUGGUGCUGCAUGUUAAACGGGUCGCUCCGCUGGAGGGGAACAGCACGGACCCCGACCGUUUUGUUUUCAUCCCGUGGAAGAAGAAGAUCAAAUUGAAUAAUGCAUGCACAGAGUUCAUAUUACGUCAUAGUGUGUCUUUUUUCUCACAGGAGACAUUUAACUUGUCACAGAGGGGGAAGCACAGGUGUCACCAGUAACACUUAACAGAGGCUCUGUUCUAUUUCCAUGUAAGUCACGACAAUGUGACCGUGAGCCGUCGUGCAGCUAAAUCGGCCAUCUUUAAUUGGGCCACGGGGACAUGUGUCUUCUGGCGGUGGGGGGUUCCUGCUCACCUGUAGUAAGUUAAAAAAACAAAAACAAACAGGACUUCAGGACUUCUCUCUGGGACCCCUGGGGGCUCCUCUCUGUCCUGCCAUCCAUUUUUUUUUUACUAUCUUUUGGAUUUAUACUUCGCAUUUAACGUGGUAUUUAUUACUUUAAUCGUUUGGAAGACUCAUUUCUGUUUAUUCUAUAUUUAAAUCUCACCUGUGCGACGUUGCUUGUAGAAGAAAGAAAAGGGACGCCACCGCUUUGUCCGUGCGGCACUAAUGUCUCCGCCUGUUAACGCAGUCAAGUGCUGGAGCAACCUACACACACACACACACACACACACACACACACACACACACACACACACACACAGGGAUAAAAAAGACACUUGGCGUCUGCAUUUAAAGCUGUAGCUAAUCUCAAGGCCUUUGGGACACAUUGUGUCGUGGCUGAAUGAGACGGGCCAGGGCCGUCCUGCAGACAGGAUCUGAGUUUUUGAACUUGGCACUUCAGUGCGGCGCACAUACGCUCGGCCCGCAGAAUGCCACCAAAAGCCUAAAUGGCACCAAAGUGAGAUGAGUUUUCAUUCACCCUCUCAACCUAUCGCAGCAGAGCUCGCCGUCGAACCGGGCAAAUUGCUUCGCUUCACAGCGAUUUAUGUGAAAAAAGCCGUCAGUCCAAGUCUCUGCCCGAGCUUCCCGCUGUCGGGGCGUGCCAGCACGCCGCCGUUCCUCAGUGAAGAGGAGUAACAACACUUGAGGCCUUAUUUAUGGGAUAGUCAGGGCGUUCCUGUUGCAACCUGCAUUGUUUUUUGUGCUUUGACUUUAAGCAAAAACACACACUCAUGCACGCACAAAAACUUAACAAGGGGACUGGCCGUUAAUGGAGAAAAGCUGGCAGAGAUUUAAAGGUUUUUAAUAACUUUACAAGCACAUCUCAGUGCAAAUGUGAAGCGUUACAGGUCUAAAGAAAGCAAAGUUACUAUUUAGCCUGUGUUUAGCUAUGCUGAUGACUGAAAGUGCAAAUGUGUUUCUCCUGUUUCACUCCUUGGUUUUCUCCCUUCCGUCCGCUCUCUUUUUACAGGCUUCCAAUAUACGACAUUGAAUGAUCGUGGAUCCCUGAAAAGAGGCUCGAGCCAUCGUUGAAAGAAAAGGAAGCGAGAGCUGAGGGGAAAACGGACGGGGAACAGGAUCGGCCUCUCUGCGCUCUGAAGGAACCUGCUUGGGCGCGAGGACAUGGACCAAACUCAACGAAAUACUGUCUUCAGAAAGUCUCAACAGAGAUCAUCAGUCACCUAAACGAGGAGAGCAGCCCUGUGUGGCAAAGGACAUGUAGAAAGAAAAGAGCUACUGUACAAGCUGGAAAUGUGCCUGUUAUCCAUGUUCAUGAUAUUGUAUUAAUGUGUGUGAUACAUAUACAUUAUUUUAAAAAUUGCAGAAAACUUGUUCUCACCGAUAUAUCUAAAGUGCAUCUACAUGUUUUAAUUAAUAAUUUAUGAAACUGCUGUUCUCAUAUGUCUGAAUUGAAAUAGGAAUUUAUAAGACUGGAGUGCAUUACUGAAAAAGCUGAUUGUAUUUCUUCUUUGAAUUAAAUCGAUAAUGAAAAUAUUUUCAUCUCUGUGUUACAAUCGUGCUUUUGAGCAAUUAUUUCAGUGAUAAAUUAGGAAGGGAAACAAUAAAUUAUUACAAUGCGGACAUCCUAAAGAAUGUGUUUUCAUGUUGAAUGUUUUCAACAGCACUUUGUCUUUAAUCUUCAAUAAAAAAAUGAACAAGGAUCGAUCUAAAACAGACAGUAUACGGAGUCAAGCCGGCUGGACCUUUUCUCUGCCGGCUUUCUGUUUUUAGAUUCAAAUGGUAAUUUCUGUGAGGAUCGUGCGAGGCGGUCUUUGAGUGACCCCACAUUAAGGUUUAAUUAGGAGGAGCAGACGGGGGGUUGUGUGUUGAUCAGUGUGGGAAAAGAGAAAUUCACUGCCUGAACUGUCUACACUGCGGAAAUAGACAUUCACUCUGUUCAUAUCGGCUGCGAAAAAUGAUACGGCUAAAUAACAGGAGUGUUAUAUUUGGAAAGGUUUCUUUUUACUGCUCAGCAGGCACGAUGUAUCGGGGAUUACAGGCAGUCAAACAACAGAUGCUCCUGCUUCUUAUGAGAGAUUAUCUCUGUCUCUAGGACACAAAUUAUUUCCUCUCCAUUGAAAUGAUGCCUUAUCUUAGAUUCAGAGGUUUGAUGUUCCUUUUUCAACAAUUUAACAAUUUAACUGGGAUUUCUUAUUUAAUAUAUGUCAUUUUAUUCAAUGUGUGAAAAUGUAUUUUAAUUUGUUUUAAAAUAUCUUACUAAAGUUUACAACAAACUUUAAAAUGUUAAAUAAAGAAUAAAAAGCAUUGCUGUCACAGAUUGCACAAGAGCUGUUGCAUUAAGAAAGACAAAAAGCUAGACUAUUACUACUAUAUUUGUAGACCAAAGAGAGGAUCUACAAACCAAAAUAACGGUGAACUAUUGAAUACAAUAAACUGUAAAAGAGACAAAAAUAGUCACAAACCCAGUGAGGACACAUGGGAGUUGUAUGAAAGAACUGAGGGGGGAAUCGUGUGCACUGUUUUCACAUGUGCUUGA